UGCAUGCUUCCUUCGUAGAGUAAGAGUAAUGAUCAGAUAUUGUACGAGACGCUUUCUGUCAGCAGGUAGGAAGCGGGAGACAACCGGAGACUUCCUCAGCAUCGGCAGAUGACUUUGGCGUGGUGACAGAAGAAUGGUCUUUACUGCCACUGCGGCCUCUUGUUAUCCCACACAAUACCUAAGAAAGUUGUAUGGGUGUGAAUGGUUAGAAAUGACGACCGACUGACAGUGAACAAAGACACUCACCUGCCUGUUCAUCUGGAGGUGGUCCAGAGGAUCCAGUCCCUAGGCAGAAUUUAAGACUGUCCCUGCUCUGGAUUAGACCGAGAAGCCACAUCACUGAGAAGACAGCUGAAGAAGAAGAUUUCCGUCUUCUGGGUUGUUGCGCUGUGUAGUCUGGUCGAUGUUAACCAACGUUUCAGAGUUGAGGGGUGGAUAUGGGAGACGACCACCAUGUAAUAGAGGGUCACGAGGCCGCGCUCUCAGUUGUCCGUGUCACCGCUCCCACACGUCAGUGAGCAUUCCUGUCGCCGCCCACAAUAGAAAGGUCGAUCAGUCGGUGUGAGGGCACGUGGUAUGAGUGAUAAUCUGAGGAACAAUGACUUUCAUACUUGAGUGACUUACUGGAGACUGUUCAUGUACUGUGGUCCAUUACGGCUACAGACCUCUAACCGUCUUUUGUGUGAAGGUCAAAUUAUUCAACUGCUUUGUCAAUUAAAACUUGUCAGGAAUUAAUUAUUAUAGUGUCUUUGACACUGAAUAAAAAUCUUGUAAAUUUUUAUCGUCUUCUUUUCGGAACUUCUAUAAAUGUUUUGGUUUCAAGUUUGUUGCGGAAAUUUUUUCAAUUUUUGCAGGCUCGUUUAACGUUAUAUCGAUAUUAGAUAGCUGUAAAAAAGUAUUGUUCUCAGCGUCUACGUUUAGACGACAUUGUUGCGUUGUGCAAGAACUCUAAAUGCGAAUGUUAUCUGUUUCAAAUAUGUCUUCAGCAAUUUAAAUCCUUCAAGUUAUUUCCAUCCUUACCUUUACUACCACGAAAUUGUAAAAAUGAUAUGA